UACAGAGACUGCAAGCGUUAUUCGGAUUCACUGGGCGUAAAGGGUGCGCAGGCGGCCGUGUGUGUGAGGCGUGAAAGCCUGGAGCUUAACUCCAGAAUUGCGCCUCAAACUACACGGCUAGAGCAUUGGAGAGGGUAGCGGAAUUCACGGUGUAGCAGUGAAAUGCGUAGAUAUCGUGAGGAACACCAGAGGCGAAGGCGGCUACCUGGACAAUUGCUGACGCUCAGGCACGAAAGCGUGGGGAGCAAAAGGG
rnacentral:rRNA from 1 species